rnacentral:rRNA from 1 species
UACGAGGGAUCCUAGCGUUGUUCGGAAUCAUUGGGCGUAAAGGGUGCGUAGGUGGCCAUACAAGUCAGUUGUGAAAGCCCCGGGCUUAACCCGGGAAGUGCUUCUGAGACUGUUUGGCUUGAGUACUAGAGAGGUGAGUAGAAUUCCAGGUGUAGUGGUGAAAUACGUAGAUAUCUGGAGGAACACCGGUAGCGAAGGCGGCAUCCUGGACCAACACUGACGCUGAGGAGCGAAAGCCAGGGGAGCAAACGGG